UACGUAGGUGGCAAGCGUUAUCCGGAUUUAUUGGGCGUAAAGGGAACGCAGGCGGUCUUUUAAGUCUGAUGUGAAAGCCUUCGGCUUAACCGGAGUAGUGCAUUGGAAACUGGGAGACUUGAGUGCAGAAGAGGAGAGUUGAACUCCAUGUGUAGCGGUGAAAUGCGUAGAUAUAUGGAAGAACACCAGUGGCGAAAGCGGCUCUCUGGUCUGUAACUGACGCUGAGGUUCGAAAGCGUGGGUAGCAAACAGG
rnacentral:rRNA from 1 species